rnacentral:misc_RNA from 1 species
GUAGUUGAACCUGCGGAAGGAUCAUUACAGUGUUCUCUGCCCUCACGGGUAGAAACGCUCACCCUUGUGUAUUAUAUCUUUGUUGUUUCGGCAGGCCGCCCUCGGGCACCGGCUCCGGCUAGAUCGUGCCUGCCAAAGGAAACCCAACUCUGAAUGUUAGUGUCGUCUGAGUGCUAUAUAAUUAUCCAAACUCUCACCGACGGAUCUCUUGGUUCUG